AAUUGAAGCACUCCAUAAGAACAUGAGGACUAAAUGCACAAAUUGUCCUUUUUGAACCAUAUAUAACCCCAUUUCAGAACCCUAAAAAAAAUCACUUUUCAGCCACUCCCCAAAAUUGCGCCGUAACUCUUCUCUCCCUCUGCUGUUCCAACUCCUCCUCUACUCCGAUGGCGUCAAAGCAAAGGAGUCCUCCAACAACACCGCACCGCCAAAUCCGUUUACAAAUAGCUAUCCUCCCCAUUUUGCUUGCUGUUGUUCGUGAUUUACAGAUGCACGCGAAGGGCCGAACGUGAGCGACGUGGAGGUUGCCGAACGUGGGGGCAACGUGCGGCACCCAAACUGCUGUUAGUCACUGCUUAGGGUUAGGCUGGGGUUUGGGCUUGUUCAGGUAUUGGGCCUGCAAUUUGGGUUACUGGGUUUAGUAAUUUGGGUUAUUGUAAAUGGGCCGGGCAAAAUUUGUUUAUUACAAUGUUUAUAUUUUAUAAUUAAAAUUAAAUAAAAUUUAUUUAUUAAAUGAA